ACAUGCAAGUCGAACGGCAGCACAGUAAGAGCUUGCUCUUACGGGUGGCGAGUGGCGGACGGGUGAGGAAUACAUCGGAAUCUACUCUGUCGUGGGGGAUAACGUAGGGAAACUUACGCUAAUACCGCAUACGACCUACGGGUGAAAGCAGGGGACCUUCGGGCCUUGCGCGAUUGAAUGAGCCGAUGUCGGAUUAGCUAGUUGGCGGGGUAAAGGCCCACCAAGGCGACGAUCCGUAGCUGGUUGAGAGGAUGAUCAGCCACACUGGAACUGAGACACGGUCCAGACUCCUACGGGAGGCAGCAGUGGGGAAUAUUGGACAAUGGGCGCAAGCCUGAUCCAGCCAUACCGCGUGGGUGAAGAAGGCCUUCGGGUUGUAAAGCCCUUUUGUUGGGAAAGAAAUCCAGCUGGUUAAUACCCGGUUGGGAUGACGGUACCCAAAGAAUAAGCACCGGCUAACUUCGUGCCAGCAGCCGCGGUAAUACGAAGGGUGCAAGCGUACUCGGAAUUACUGGGCGUAAAGCGUGCGUAGGUGGUCGUUUAAGUCCGUUGUGAAAGCCCUGGGCUCAACCUGGGAACUGCAGUGGAUACUGGACGACUAGAGUGUGGUAGAGGGUACGGAAUUCCUGGUGUACAGUGAAAUGCGUAGAGAUCAGGAGGAACAUCCAUGGCGAAGGCAGCUACCUGGACCAACACUGACACUUGAGCACGA
rnacentral:rRNA from 1 species